CUCGGGAUGAACGCUAGCGACAGGCCUAACACAUGCAAGUCGAGGGGCAGCACAAGGAGCAAUCUGAGGUGGCGACCGGCGCACGGGUGAGUAACACGUAUGCAACCUGCCUGUAAGCGGGGAAUAACCCGUUGAAAGACGGACUAAUACCGCAUAAUACUAAAUUACUGCAUGGUAAUUCAUUUAAACAUUUAUGGCUUACAGAUGGGCAUGCGCAUGAUUAGCUAGUUGGAGAGGUAACGGCUCCCCAAGGCAACGAUCAUUAGGGGUUCUGAGAGGAAGGUCCCCACACUGGUACUGAGACACGGACCAGACUCCUACGGGAGGCAGCAGUGAGGAAUAUUGGUCAAUGGACGAGAGUCUGAACCAGCCAAGUCGCGUGCAGGAAGAAUGUCCUUAAUGGAUUGUAAACUGCUUUUGCAGGGGAAUAAAGUGCAUCACGUGUGAUGUUUUGUAUGUACUCUGCGAAUAAGGAUCGGCUAACUCCGUGCCAGCAGCAGC
rnacentral:rRNA from 1 species